UCCUACGGGAGGCAGCAGUGGGGAAUCUUGCGCAAUGGACGAAAGUCUGACGCAGCGACGCCGCGUGAGUGAUGAAGGCCUUCGGGUUGUAAAGCUCUGUGGAGGGGGACGAAUAAGUCGGAGCGAAUAGCUCCGAUGAUGACGGUACCCCUUUAGCAAGCACCGGCUAACUCUGUGCCAGCAGCCGCGGUAAGACAGAGGGUGCAAACGUUGUUCGGAAUUACUGGGCGUAAAGCGCGUGUAGGCUGCUUGGAAAGUCGGAUGUGAAAGCCCUGGGCUCAACCUAGGAAGUGCAUUCGAAACUUCCAAGCUCGAGUUUCGGAGAGGAAGGCGGAAUUCUCGGUGUAGAGGUGAAAUUCGUAGAUAUCGAGAGGAACACCGGUGGCGAAGGCGGCCUUCUGGACGAUGACUGACGCUGAGACGCGAAAGCGUGGGGAGCAAACAGGAUUAGAUACCCCGGUAGUC
rnacentral:rRNA from 1 species